CACUGAGAAGCUAAACCGGACAUAGCAUUAGCCUUUUGAGCUAAAGAAUGGUGGCCCCAAUCACCCUUAGUGA
rnacentral:tRNA from 1 species